rnacentral:lncRNA from 1 species
AAUCUUAACUCUGAAAUGUUAUGUGAUUUUUAGAUAUUGCGAAUAUGAGGAUACUCAAGCAAGAUACAAAGAUGUUCAUUAUGGAGACUGCAUGAGUUGGCAUAGAUUGUCUUACCUCAGAAAAAGAGGAAGAAACUCCAGGAGUUCGAGGACACAGGAAAGUUCACGUGGGUACAAAGUGAGAAGUCUGCCGCCUGCAAGCCUGGAAGAGAGUCCUCACCGGACACCAGUCACGCUGGCUCCUUGAUCUUGGACUUCCUGCCUCCAAACUGUGACAAUAUCCAUUUCUGUUGUUUUAGGCACACAGCCUGUGGGAUUCUGUUAUGGAAUCCUGAGCUCAUAAAUACAGGAGCAGAGAGAUAUGAGCCUAGGAUAUCCUUGAAAAUGAGAAACACUGAAAAUAAUUGAUGAACAACAGUCAUGUCUACUAAAGAGGGUGAAAUAAAACAACAUAAACAGAAUGGCAGAAUACAUGUUUGAUAUAAUAAGUAUCAGAUACUUUCAAUUCUCUUUUCCUAGCCUUUAUGCUAUUCUUUUAUUUGGGGGGGGUAUAUUUUUUAUUUGUUUCUUUUUAGAUAUACAUGACAGUAGAAUGUAUUUUGACAUAGCAUAAAAACAUGGAGUGUAACUUCCCAUUCUUGUGCUUGUACAAGAUGAGGAGUUCACUGGUCAUAUAUUCACAUAUGAACAUAGGAAAUUUAUGUCCAAUUCAUUCUACUGUCUUUCCUAUUCCCAUCCCCCCUCCAUUCCCCCUCUUUCUCCCCUGACCAAUGUGUUGAACCUCCACUCCUCCAGACCCCUACCUAUUGUGAGUCAGCAUCCGCAUAUCAAAGAGAACUUUGGGCUUUUGGUUUUCUGGGAUUGGCUUAUUUCACUUAGCAUGAUAGUCUCCAGGUCUAUCCAUUUACCAGCAAAUGUCAUAAUUUCAUUUCUCUUUAUGGCUGAGUAAUAUUCCACUGUGUGUGUGUGUGUGUGUAUAUAUAUAUACACACACAUACCACAUUUUUUAAUCCAUUAAUCAAUGUUCAUAGCAGCUUGAUUCACAAUAGCUAACCUAUGGAACCAACCUAGGAGCCCUUCAACAGAUGAAUGGAUAAAGAAAAUAUGGUACAUAUUCUAUUCUUUUUUAAAAGACUAUUUUAUUGAUAUAGCUUACAGAGGGCACCUACCAUUCAGUUGAUGUUUUAGUAUUCUCACAAAGUUGUACAACUCUUACCAUUGCUCCACACAAUGUCUUCACUCCAAAAGGAGACCCUGUGCCUAUUAGCACUCUCCCCCCAUUUUCCCCUCCUCCCAGUUCAUGGAAACUCCUUGUCUAUUUUUGAUCUUCAGGGCUUUGCUCAUUCUGGAUAUGUCAUAAAUGGAAUGACGCACUCUCUCAGAUCUGAAGUUAUGGCAUCUUCUGGCAGGAGGUUCCUCCCUCUGUGCUGUCCCCUGGAAUCUGUAUCAACACUAGGGAAGUUUUAGGACUUGCCUAGUUUAUUUUGUGACUCUUGGUAACCAUGACUUCCAUUAAAUGAUAUCUUGUAUCUAGGAAACUGAUGUUGCUUAAUUGUUUUUGUUGUUUUUUUCAGUCUAGGGGAUAAAUAUGACACCUGUCACUCUAUGUUGACCCUAAGUGGGAUCCCCUCACUACCUGUACACAAUUUUAUAUU